AGAUGUACUGAUUUCUAGAAGGACUGUGCUCAAGGAACAGGAAAUACAUGGCAUUGUCUUUGUUAUUUGCUGGAAGGGCGAAACAGAGGAUCAAGUCCUGUGGCUGAAAAUAAGAUCUGGUUCAUGGAGUUUCUAUUCUGGUUGGAAAGCUGGCAGGUUUUGAUUCACCGAGCAUGCAACAAACUGAUGGAUGUGAUAAACUGGGUAGAAGAUAUGACAUCGCAACAACUUUCAGGCUGUCAAACUGAAAAACCAGCAGAGA